AUUGAACGCUGGCGGCAUGCUUUACACAUGCAAGUCGAACGGUAACAGGCCGCAAGGUGCUGACGAGUGGCGAACGGGUGAGUAAUGCAUCGGAACGUGCCCAGUCGUGGGGGAUAACUGCUCGAAAGAGCAGCUAAUACCGCAUACGAUCUAUGGAUGAAAGCGGGGGACCGUAAGGCCUCGCGCGAUUGGAGCGGCCGAUGUCAGAUUAGGUAGUUGGUGGGGUAAAGGCCCACCAAGCCAACGAUCUGUAGAUGGGCUGAGAGGAUGACCAGCAACACUGGGACUGAGCCACGGCCAGGACUCCUACGGGAGGCAGCAGUGGGGAAGUUUGGACAAUGGGGGCAACCCUGAUCCAGCAAUGCGGCGUGCAGGAAGAAGGCCUUCGGGUUGUAAACUGCUUUUGUACGGAACGAAACGGUCUGGGUUAAUACCCUGGGCUAAUGACGGUACCGUAAGAAUAAGCACCGGCUACCUACGUGCCAGCCGCCGCGGUAAAAC
rnacentral:rRNA from 1 species